UACGUAGGGUGCAAGCGUUAAUCGGAAUUACUGGGCGUAAAGCGUGCGCAGGCGGUUUUGCAAGACAGAUGUGAAAUCCCCGGGCUCAACCUGGGAAUUGCAUUUGUGACUGCACGGCUAGAGUGUGUCAGAGGGGGGUAGAAUUCCACGUGUAGCAGUGAAAUGCGUAGAGAUGUGGAGGAAUACCGAUGGCGAAGGCAGCCCCCUGGGAUAACACUGACGCUCAUGCACGAAAGCGUGGGGAGCAAACAGG
rnacentral:rRNA from 1 species